rnacentral:rRNA from 1 species
UACGAAGGGGGCUAGCGUUGCUCGGAAUCACUGGGCGUAAAGGGUGCGUAGGCGGGUCUUUAAGUCAGGGGUGAAAUCCUGGAGCUCAACUCCAGAACUGCCUUUGAUACUGAAGAUCUUGAGUUCGGGAGAGGUGAGUGGAACUGCGAGUGUAGAGGUGAAAUUCGUAGAUAUUCGCAAGAACACCAGUGGCGAAGGCGGCUCACUGGCCCGGAACUGACGCUGAGGCACGAAAGCGUGGGGAGCAAACAGGGAU